AAUGGGAUAAGCUAAAUAUAUUAAGCUGUUGGGCUCAUAACCCAAAAAUAGAAUCAUCUUCCCAUUA
rnacentral:tRNA from 1 species